rnacentral:rRNA from 1 species
AUGCACGUACCCGAGGAGGUGCUGGUGGAGACCGUUGGCGUCCUUGGCUGCGCCGUUCAAGGGUUCCCGCAAGCCUACCUUUGGCUCCCGUUGUCGUGGGAAAAGCUCUGCUUCGCUGACUUCCUACCCAUGAUCGCGAAGGUUGACAAGUACCUGGCUGGAUGGAGAGCUUGUCUUCUCUCCCCGGCGGGGCGUUUGGUCCUGAUCAACGCUGUUCUCGACGCCCUCCCCACUUACGCCAUGGCGGCAAUGAUGCUCCCGCCGGCGGUGAUCAAGGAGCUCGACUCACUCCGUCGGGCCUUCCUCUGGAAUGCGGCCGAACGCGCCUCUGGAGCACAAUGCCUGGUGGCUUGGGAGCGCGUUUGCAGGACCAAGGCGGAGGGUGGGCUGGGCGUCCGAGACCUCGCCACGCAGAAUCGCUGUCUACUGCUCAAGAUGCUGCACCGGCUCCAUACAGCCUCCUCGUCCUCGAGAUGGGCCCUGUGGGUGUGGGCGGAGCUCGACGGCCGCUCCCUUCUCUCGUCAACGGCAAGCAGGAGCGCGGGGGAGCACAGCAAGGCGCUGGCGCGGCUGCUCCCGCUGUACCGCGGGAUCACCAGGGUGACGGUGCGCGAUGGGAGGCGGACGUCCUUCUGGCUCGACUCCUGGCUCCCGUGUGGGCCUCUCGCGGUGGCUCUUCCGGUGCUGCACUCACACACGACGGUGAAGGAGGCCACGGUGUGGCAUGUGCGUGCGCGCGGCCUGGACAGUGUGCUGGUGCCCAGGCUUACCUCUGACGGCGCCGUGGAGCGGGCUACCCUUCUGGCCCUGAUCGGCGAUAAUGCUACGGGCCCCGGCGACGACGAGCGCAGACCGAUGUUGUGCUCGGACGCGCAUGGGAGCCUCGUAACGGCGGCCGUCUACGCCCUGGAGAGAUUCGGCGGCGUGCAUGCGUCGUUCGCGGCGUUCCUCUGGGGGUGCGCUGCUCCCUCCCGCGUUCGCUUCUUCGGGUGGCUCCUGGUCCAACGACGGGUCAACACAAGAGACGUCCUGUUGCAGAAGACCAUCGUCACGACGGAGGGGGCUGCUUGUCCUGUCUGUUCGUGCGAGCUGGAGACGGCGGAUCACAUGGUGUUUGAGUGCCCUUUCGCCCGAUCAUUCUGGCGGGCUGUGGGGGUCGACGUGGUCGACAAAGGCUAUCAGGUGGGCGCGCUCCAGGAUCUUGACGUCCGGGGGGGUGGUCGGAGAUACUGCUUGCGCUACCUUCGCUCUUCUGUGCUGCUGGCAGCUAUGGAAGCACAGGAAUGCUGUGGUCUUCCGUGGGGCGGUGCCCUCCCUCGCCCGUCUUCUCGCAUGCUGUAG